rnacentral:lncRNA from 1 species
GGGGAAUAUAUCCUUUUACUGUCCAGCCUGGGAGGGUGGAAAUGAGAACUAGAAGAUCUUGGAACAUCCCAGGGCUUCAUUGAAGUUCAAUUACCGCUCUUGAGAUUGGGAACAUGACUUAAAACUAAUGGCAAAUGAAGAGACAAUUAUACACUGACUUUAGGAGUACAAAAGCUGGUCUGGAGAUAUGUGUACCCCUGAAGAAUGCACACUGCAGAAUUGAGGCCUAACCGAGGAUUGUGGUCCUGUGUCUGAAGCCUCCCCAUCUGGGAGCAUCUGGGAUAUAGAAGCUGCAGGGAAUACGGAAGGCAGGGCUGUUGAGCUAUGACGACUGUGGGAAAGUCUGGUGUAAAGGAAUGAACAUUCUUGCCUUGUGGGUGAGACAGACUUAGGUAAGUUAUUUCACCCUUCUGAGCCUCAGUUCCCUCACACAUAGAAUGGUGAUCGUAAAAUCG